ensembl:lncRNA
CCCAUUUCCUAUUAAGCUCUCUGCUUCCUGGCCAACCAGAAGGUGAAUAAUCUGCCAAAGCGCAACCGACACCAAUGCCUUGGUCUCCCCUGGGGAACAGGCUAUAUUGCCCGAAACUACAAACCAGCGUGAAUCUCUCCUCCCUUAGCUGAUGCUGUCAGGCAUAUAGUCACAGUGACAUACAGUUGACUAACACUCAUGUGUCAAUGUCUUAGGUGGUUGUACAAACACAUAUGUGGGGCAGAGAGGAUCUCAGCUCCUCAACCAUCUGAAGCCUGUUUCCAACCUUCCUCUUAAGCUACCCUAGUGGGAUCUAUGAAAGCCCCAGCGUCUAACACAACGCCGCGGGGAGGAAGCAGUAACGAAUCAUAAUUAAGAACACAUCAGGUUCAGAAGUGUGUUAAGAAAUUGACUGGAAGGUUAUAAAAGUCAUAUGGAAGUCAUAGCCCAGAAGAGGCACCACCACCUUGAAAAAGAACAAAUGUGGAAGAUGAUUAUUUCCCGGUUUCAAAACUUAUAGUAAUCUUCCUAUGGAGACCUGCAAAGAAUUGAUGAUAUAGGGUAAACUCACACAUUACGGUCAAUUUCAGACAAGGAGAGGAAUCCGUACAUUUGUUUGUUUGUUUGUUGUUUGUUUGUUUGGCUUUGGUGCUGGGGGUUGAACCUCGUAUGUGUUGAAUAAACCUUCUACCACUGAGCUACAUCCUUGUC